AAAUCCUCAGCUCGGGAUAAAAACUCAAGAGCAUCUGAAAUCCCCAGGAAGAGGGGAAGUUAGUCAUGAGAGCGAAGUGUUGGAUUUAGCACGAGAACAAAGCUGGGUGGGGAAUUGGGCUGAAAUCCACACAUUUCAAAGUUGUCAGGUUUGAGAAACAUCUGUUUAGACGAACGCCUUUUAUUAUUGCAUAAACUUUCCAUUCGAGGCGUGUGUUCAGGCGGGCGCUACCCACAGCUUACUGAAACGUGUUGUAUAUGGUUAGCCAAGAACCGUGGUUUACUCAGUUAAUUUACGGGCUUAUACAAUUCACUACAAUAUAACUAACAAGUGGGUAUAAUAUGUUUUUUCAGUGGUGCUGGGCAAAAUAAUCAGUGUAUGCAGCAUUAUUUUUCCAUAUCUCUGCAAAUUUGGAGACCUGGAUGAGAAUCAAUUUGGAAUUCAUAUGAACAAGAAGUUGUUAAUUCACUAUGUUGCACAGUCCUAUGAAUUAUUUGACAAAAAUCCGAAUUCAAAGAACAUUUUACCAAAUCAAAAAACAACAGAAGAGGAAUUAAUCAACACUAAAGAAGAUUUUAUGUCAUUCUAUAUUACAACCUAUUGAGACUCCUGAUGACCAAAAAAUGACUUUAACUAAACCAUAUACAAUUGCAAAAGUAACAGAAAUGGAUGUGCAAAUACAACUGAUUGAGAACUAUGAAAAUUUUGAUAACCAACUACUAACCACAAAAUUGGACAUAAUUGUCUUACUCAGCAGAAUCAAAUGUCGAGACUUGAACUUUUAAAACAACAAGGGAUUAUCUACAAAGGAGUCAGGUUUCUAAAACAGAUGAGGGGACAUUGAUAUCAAAUGAUAUCACAAGGAAUAAAGAGAGAUUUUUUGUUGAUAUAGAGGCUCUGUUAUGGAAACCUGCUUGGCACAAAAAGAAAGCUAGAAUAAGACUGAAGAAUGUCACCUAAAAUUGUAUGCAAUGGGUUAAAAAGGCUUUUUAGAUACGAAUUGACUUAAGGUUCAAGAUUGGUAAAUAAGGCGUUAGAGAUUAAUUAAAUAUGUGAACUUAGUAAGAUGAUGUCUUUUCUGUAUUAAUAUGUUUGUUGUGGAUAUAACAAUUAUUCAGAUUGUAUAUAAAUUUUACUGAGUGGGUUAAAAGAAUUUUACAUAGAUAUUGAUUGAUUGAUAGAUUAUAGAUUUAAAAUAGAUUAGAAAUGUAUUUUUUGGAGUAAUAUUCUUGUUUUUAGGAAGAAUAGCUAUUUUGUAAUGGAAGGAGAAUAAGAGGAAUUUCUGAUAAAAGAAGAAAUGAUAUUAAUAAAUGAAUUACUAGAUUAAAAAAUAGAAUACUUGUAGAAAAUACAAGAAUGUUAUGGUUGAAAUAAUAUAUGUAUUUUAGAGAUAAGGAUUAUGUCAAGGAAAAAGAGAAAGGAGGGACACCUGAAGUGUUAAUAAUAUGUUCAGCUAAACCAAAUUGGAAUAUGGUAAUUGUAAAUAGUAAAGCUUAAAACAGGAUUUGGAUUUAUACAGAUGAAACGUUAUUGAUGACUGUUCUGAUUGAUUGAAUUUUUAUUGAAAAAAUAUAUUAAUUU